rnacentral:rRNA from 1 species
ACUGUUUCGGCAAGGGGGUCAUCCCGACUUACCAACCCGAUGCAAACUGCGAAUACCGGAGAAUGUUAUCACGGGAGACACACGGCGGGUGCUAACGUCCGUCGUGAAGAGGGAAACAACCCAGACCGCCAGCUAAGGUCCCAAAGUCAUGGUUAAGUGGGAAACGAUGUGGGAAGGCCCAGACAGCCAGGAUGUUGGCUUAGAAGCAGCCAUCAUUUAAAGAAAGCGUAAUAGCUCACUGGUCGAGUCGGCCUGCGCGGAAGAUGUAACGGGGCUAAACCAUGCACCGAAGCUGCGGCAGCGACGCUGAUGCGUUGUUGGGUAGGGGAGCGUUCUGUAAGCCUGCGAAGGUGUGCUGUGAGGCAUGCUGGAGGUAUCAGAAGUGCGAAUGCUGACAUAAGUAACGAUAAAGCGGGUGAAAAGCCCGCUCGCCGGAAGACCAAGGGUUCCUGUCCAACGUUAAUCGGGGCAGGGUGAGUCGACCCCUAAGGCGAGGCCGAAAGGCGUAGUCGAUGGGAAACAGGUUAAUAUUCCUGUACUUGGUGUUACUGCGAAGGGGGGACGGAGAAGGCUAUGUUGGCCGGGCGACGGUUGUCCCGGUUUAAGCGUGUAGGCUGGUUUUCCAGGCAAAUCCGGAAAAUCAAGGCUGAGGCGUGAUGACGAGGCACUACGGUGCUGAAGCAACAAAUGCCCUGCUUCCAGGAAAAGCCUCUAAGCAUCAGGUAACAUCAAAUCGUACCCCAAACCGACACAGGUGGUCAGGUAGAGAAUACCAAGGCGCUUGAGAGAACUCGGGUGAAGGAACUAGGCAAAAUGGUGCCGUAACUUCGGGAGAAGG